ACUCCUACGGGAGGCAGCAGUGGGGAAUAUUGCACAAUGGGGGAAACCCUGAUGCAGCCAUGCCGCGUGUGUGAAGAAGGCCUUCGGGUUGUAAAGCACUUUCAGUAGGGAGGAAGGUAGUGUAGUUAACACCUGCAUUAUUUGUACGUUACCUACAGAAGAAGCACCGGCUAACUCCGUGCCAGCAGCCGCGGUAAUACGGAGGGUGCGAGCGUUAAUCGGAAUUACUGGGCGUAAAGCGCAUGCAGGCGGCUUGUUAAGUCAGAUGUGAAAGCCCGGGGCUUAACCUCGGAAUUGCAUUUGAAACUGGCAGGCUAGAGUCUUGUAGAGGGGUUAGAAUUUCAGGUGUAGCGGUGAAAUGCGUAGAGAUCUGAAGGAAUACCAGUGGCGAA
rnacentral:rRNA from 1 species